CCUACGGGAGGCAGCAGUGGGGAAUAUUGGGCAAUGUGCGCAAGCCUGACCCAGCAAUGCCGCGUGAAGGAAGAAGGCUUUCGGGUUGUAAACUUCUUUGACAGGGGAAGAGCAGAAGACGGUACCCUGAAAACAAGCCACGGCUAACUACGUGCCAGCAGCAGCGGUAAUACGUAGGUGGCAAGCGUUGUCCGGAUUUACUGGGUGUAAAGGGCGUGUAGCCGGGAAGGCAAGUCAGAUGUGAAAUCUGGAGGCUCAACCUCCAAAUUGCAUUUGAAACUGUUUUUCUUGAGUACUGGAGAGGCAGACGGAAUUCCUUGUGUAGCGGUGAAAUGCGUAGAUAUAAGGAGGAACACCAGUGGCGAAGGCGGUCUGCUGGACAGCAACUGACGGUGAGGCGCGAAAGCGUGGGGAGCAAACAGGAUUAGAUACCCUAGUAGUC
rnacentral:rRNA from 1 species